rnacentral:rRNA from 1 species
AAUCAACGCUGGCGGCGUGCCUCAGACAUGCAAGUCGAACGAUUAAAGCUCUCUUCGGAGAGUGUAUAGAGUGGCGCACGGGUGAGUAACACGUAAGUAAUCUACCCUCGAGUGGGGAAUAACGUCCGGAAACGGACGCUAAUACCGCAUAAUGCAGCGGCACCGCAAGGUGACAGUUGUUAAAGAUUUAUCGCUUGAGGAGGAGCUUGCGGCAGAUUAGCAGUUGGUAAGGUAAUGGCUUACCAAGGCUACGAUCUGUAACCGGUCUAAGAGGACGGUCGGUCACACUGACACUGAAUAACGGGUCAGACUCCUACGGGAGGCAGCAGUCGGGAAUUUUGGGCAAUGGGCGAAAGCCUGACCCAGCAACGCCGCGUGAAGGAUGAAGUACUUCGGUAUGUAAACUUCGAAAGAAUGGGAAGAAUAAAUGACGGUACCAUUUAUAAGGUCCGGCUAACUACGUGCCAGCCGCCGCAGUAAC